rnacentral:rRNA from 1 species
GUCUAUGGCCAUACUACCUUGAAAAUGCCCAAUCUAAUCUGGUCUCAGAAACUAAGCAAGGUCAAGCCCGGUUAGUACUUGGAUGGAAAACUGAUCUUCAGAAAAGACCGCUCAGAGACA